GGACUUUGUAGUUUCCACACCCUCCUUUUUGUUUCAUUUCUAGUUUGUUUCUAUGGUUACUCAUUAGUUGAUUGAUUAGUCCUCACCUGUGCCUUGUUUUACCCCUCUUUAUCCUGUGUAUUUAAACCCUCCUCAGUUUGCAGUUCAAUGUCCUGUACUCUCUUUAUGCUGCUGAUCAACUCACCCUCUGUGAUGUCCCACGGCACACCUCCCAGGAACACUUUACAGGAGUAAACAGGGUUUUUGUAGUGGCGUGGAGGAAGUCGCCCUUCCCAGGUAACGAGGGUUUGUUCAAGCCCAGAGUGUCCCAGCCGGGCCAGAUUGGACCUGUGGACCAGCACCCAACCACUGAUCCUUCAGCCUGAGCGCUAGGAGCGUUCGUGAAGGUGUUCAAGGGAUUCCGCUCCAAACGACCAACUGUGUCCAGUUUCACGCCCUCCGCCUGCAGUUCAGGCAGCACCAGGGGCGACGGGGUCGAAACUCUGAGAGAGACCUGAUGGAGACGGACACACAAAUAACUGCGCUAUAACUUUGGAAAAACUGAAUCUUUGAAAGGUUCCACUGCACUCCUCUGGGUUACGUAUGGGAUCGGAACGUUGUUGCUCACCAGGUGGUCUGAUCCUGAAGAGAUGGCGCUGUUCUCGGAGUUGACGGGACUGCUGGAUCCAGAGUGCAGCAGAGAGUGAGACUCCAGCGCCGGUAUCAGGCUGGAGAAGCGCUCCAGUGGAUCUGCUUCACCGGCGGACUCAUGGGCCUGGAAAGAGAGCUGCUGAACCGAAUCACCGCCUCGUGAAGCACCAAAGAGAUUCUGCAACACUGCAGGAGAGAAUGUGUGACUUUUGAAUGGCUAUUCAAAUUAAAAAUGUCAAUCACUGACAA